AAUAAAAUCUAAUUCAAAACAUUAGCAAAAACUAUAAUAGUAUAUCAGUGAUACUAAGGUAACACUGAUCAGAAUCACAGUUAAUCAAGAGCUUGUGAAUCAGAAUCAGAUUAGGAAAUCUGUAUUGAUAACCAUACUAAUUUAACGGAAUAUUUGAUGUGCACUAACAGUGAUGUACAAUUCAUGAACAAAUCAUUCAUCAAAAUGCUCUGAAUGGUUCAUGAGUCAAGACUUCAACUUGAUGCAUACAUAACUACAACAAAACAAAAGCCUAUUGAAGCAAAUAAAAAAGUAGGCAAAAGUUUUAGAAUAGAUGGAUUUCCAAACAACAGCUUGCAUUAAUUUAAAUGGAAAGUGUAGCACUGGUUAGUGUUUAAUGUUCCCAACCACGUCUCUUCUGCGUGCGACACAUUCAAAAUUGCCAAUAAUCAAUUAGAAAAGUCAGUCUGAGAUAAAACUUUAAUUUUACCUUCAUUUUCCGCCUCGGUCUCAAAAUGUCAAAUAGCAAAUGACUGAGAGAUGAUGAGAACCAUGUAACAGGCCAAAACGUCCGCAGCUAAUACGGGGUGUGCGACUGCAUCGAGCCACGUGACCAUCUCAGAACUCAACACCACCUCCACGUUUAAUGAGCAAUUAUCAAACCAAAAGCCCACUCUGUGUCUAAGCUGUCAACAACCUUCCAACCUCUCUAAUGCGAGCAGUGUAAACUUUAUAAUUGCUUUCAACACAGAAUAAUGAAUCAAUUUUCUGUCUGAUUUCCAUAUGCAGGGAAAAUUAAUGCAGUGUAAUGCGCUUUACUUGUCUAAUUGACUCCUUCAUUUUAUGCUGUGUUUCUAAAGCAAGAACAAAAAGCCGUAGAAGCAAGGGAUCUGCAUUUCCUUCUGUAUCUGGAACAAUAAAUUAUAUAUUUAUUUAUAUAUAUAUAUAUAUAUUUCUCAUUUCUAUGAAAAUACUAUUGACAUUCACAGAAACCAGUUUCCACCUUUGCCUUCUAUUUGCAUCCAAGCUGUAACCAUAUAUCAACAUCACAGACACACAUCAUGAGAAUAAUAUGAGCUGUGUGAAUAUGAAUAAAUAUAUGUGACAGCUUCACAGAGCAGAAAAUGGCCUUUUUUGAAAGCGAACAGUCUUGCCAUAAAUGUAUUUAUAGUGUUGUGCAUUUCUCUUUCUGCAGUCCUCACGGCCCUGUCUGCCCGGCAAGCCUCAUGGGAUCUUCCGCCCCCUCCGAGUCUCUAAACACUGGCAGAGGGGCACACUUAGGAAAUGUGUGCAUGGGAAACAAUUAAAAUACCUCCUUCUUCUGCCUGAAUAAGAAUCAUGGGGACAGUAGCUGGAAAUGGAGUGUGUGUGAAAUUGAGUUGAUGGGCUGCGGAGGAGGACUGAUGUGUGUUGGUCAGCUCUGCUAUCUUUGUAGGGCAAAUGCCCCGUAAAACUCUAGUAAAAUUCAUCUACAUUGUGCAAUAACUGCAUUGGAACAACCUGGCUACCAAUCACAGCUGCUGAGCAUCAUGCAGGGGCCUCUUCCAUUGCUUGAAGAAGACUCACUUGGUUGUAAGCAUUGGGAUCGUACACUUUCUAUCUCCAAGAGGAGAAGAACUCCUCAGUUGGAUUCAGGAAAGAAAGAAGAAUAUGGAGGAAGGAACACAAAUCUGGAAUGUUGGCGAUGUUCAAACCACUCUUGCGCCAGUGCUGAAUGAUUAAACUGGACAUUGUCCCAAAUAUCUAUAAAAUUUUGUUCCAUUUGCUCCUGAUCGACCUGCAGAAAGAGGAUUUCACCGAGGGAGUUUAAAAAAAUGUAUUUUUCAGUGUUGUAUGGGCCCAAGACAGCAUUGUGUGCUACAACACCAGUUGAAAUUGCGGCACACAUGGUGAUGUUGCCUCCUCAUUGUCCAGGGACAUUGACUGUGGCUCGAUGGCCAAUUACAUUCCUUCCUCAUUUCUUUUUUUUUUAUUAUUAUUAUUUUUUUUUAUAUAAGCCAGCUCCAUCAACAUAGAGGUACUCAUAAUGAGUUCCACUGCUAUCCAACUCAAAAGAGAAAAAAGAAAACAGAUGUUGCCUGACACUAAGUAAUCCCAAUUUGCCUAUACUUUGACUAUACAGCACUAUACAUAGUGAUGACUGAAUUCUUCCAGGGUGUAAUAGUAUAUGGACAUAUAAUAUCCAGGAAAUACAUAUCUGUGGGUUUUUUUACAUUAAAAGUACAGUAAUUGCGUGGCUUUCACGUACCUGAGCAAACUGGAUUCGCAAUUCCUUCACUCUCUCGGAGUUCCUCUCAAAGGGCACUUUGCUUCAUCCAGAUGGAAUUUCUUCUUAGAACAUGAUCAGUUGUGGCAAGACUGCAUUGGUGAAUGAACUAGUUGAUUGUCCUCUAUUAUUCUUUGCUGAAUUUCUUUGAGGCAAAUGGUGUUGUUCUGGACCACCAUGUCAAUAAUGGCAUGUUCUUGUUCAUUUGAAAAUAGUCUUGUCCAUCCACCUAAAUGUUCUUUAACUUAAAAAAAAGUAGAUACAAAUACAGUACAGAAUUAGAAUUAGACUCUAUACUACACUCAUAGUACCAAAUGCCACUAAUGGCAUUUUCUGGUUUUCCCUCUGAAAUUUGCAGAUAAUUGAAGCCACUGUGGAUCAGUUCAUGUUUGGAUGAAAUCUCUGGCCAGCUUCUCUCAGGGAGAGACCCUGAUUUAUAACAUGGUCAUCAGGGUGGCUCUGACUUCAUUUAAAACCCAUAUGUACACCUCUUUUCUCUCCCCUUCCACCCUGCGGACCCCUUCCUCUUUGUUCAUGUCUUAUAUUUUCUUCUCUUCUCACCAUACCAAUGCCCUCUAACCUACCUAUCUCUUCCCCCUCAACUCUUCUUGCUCCUUCUCCUCUUCCUACACCCUCUCCUCCUCUCCCCUCACCUCAUUCUACCUCUUCCACUGUUCUUCUCCCUCUCAUUACACCCCUUCCUCUACCAACUCCGCCUCUCACGGGUUGUUAUACGGUUUAUAUAGGGUUAGUUUAUAUUAAAAUACUAAUUUUAUAUUAUCUUACUGUAUGUAAAACAUGCCACACUCUUGUAGUCAAGACUUUAAAGUUUGAGUUUGAUGAGGUUAUCAUGGUAUUUUUUUUUUUUAGGGCUGGCACUCUAAAUUUAUCUCUUUUAAUAUUUACCUUUCUCUCACUGGUCAGUUGGAGCCUCUUUUGUAACACAAGCAAUUUAUACCUCAUCCUUUUGUUGAUCUGCCAUACUUUUGACACUCUCAAAACCAUUUCAUUGGUGGCUGUUCUCAUUUUUAUUGAUUUGAAGUGUGCUUUCAACAUUAUGUGAGUGGAGAAGCUCAAUGCAAAGCUCGUAUGUCUUGAGUCCUCUAUAUGCACUUGAUUAUAGCCUUUCAUUCAGGCCUUCAUCAGCAGCGCUAUUAUGUGUGACCAAGUCAACACACCACUAUAUAAGGCCAUGCUCUUGCUAUCAUUGCACAUUGUUGUCAGGGCAUGAUGUCAUAUUUCUGUGUAUUGUGAGAUGAUUGCAUGUGCCGCCUGACCUAGUUUCUAUUAUUGCCAAGAAGUAUCUACUUAAUGUAUGUACAACUGGAAUAGCUACUAUCUGUCAAACUUAGGCAAAGUUAGAUUGCCUCCCACCACCAAGAAAACUUUAUUCUGAAUUAUAAAUUCGCAUGGGGCUUACUUUAUGCAACACAAUUUAGUGUUUUAUCGGCUGAGGGGUUUGAUUUGUCUAAAUGUAAGACCUUUUAAAUUGCUUUUUUUUCACUAUCAGCAACACAUGAAAUUGCUCAACGGUGACAAAGGUUUUUGAUGUAUUUUUUUCUAGUGUUGCUCUCUGUCCUUUGGACAUUUCCUUUCAAUUUGUGUUUUUUGUAUCUUGAGAAUCAAGUCUGGGAAAACACAGGGCUUAAAAACACAAAAUAUGUGACAAUAAUUUCAAAUCUAGGCACAUUUGCAUUCUGCAUUUUUAUUUUGUAUGUGAUAAAUCGCAAUUAAUCGCUUGACAGCACUAGUUUUUUAUAUUUAUUUUUAGUUAUUUUGUUAAGUUAAACAGUUAAAAUGAGAUAUAUUGCCCUGACAACUAGCUGAAAUAAUUUUUAGAUUAUAUUUUAUUUCAGUUAUUGUUUAUUUUAUUUCAAGUAACAUUUUUAUGUUUAUUAUUUUAUUUUCAAUUUUAAUUAACUAGGUUGCCG
ensembl:lncRNA